rnacentral:rRNA from 1 species
CGCAUCUGUGCAUGCAGCAUAUCAAUAAGCGGAGGAAAAUGCUGCGGAACUGAGCGACCGCUACCUACGCUUAGGAUGUUGACGAGACUGUCGAUCUCAUCUAUACAUGACCCUGUGCAUAUCAAUAAGCGGAGGAAAAGAAACUAACGAGGAUUCCCCUAGUAACGGCGAGUGAAGCGGGAAGAGCUCAAAUUUGAAAUCUUAAAGGGUUUCCCUUUACGAAUUGUAGUUUAAAGAAGUGUUUUCUGUUGAGGUUUUGGUGAAAAGUUCUUUGGAAUAGGACAUCAUAGAGGGUGAGAAUCCCGUAUUUGACCUUUACUUUCAACUUUGUGAUACACUUUCAAAGAGUCGGAUUGUUUGGGAAUGCAGUCCAAAAUGGGUGGUAAAUUUCAUCUAAAGCUAAAUAUUGGCGAGAGACCGAUAGCGAACAAGUACCGUGAGGGAAAGAUGAAAAGAACUUUGAAAAGAGAGUUAAACAGUACGUGAAAUUGUCAAAAGGGAAGCGUUUGACACCAGUGUUGUUUUUCUGAAAAUCAAUUAAAGAACUGUUUAUGCUAAGUUGUUUAGACUUUAUCAGCUAACUGUUUAGUUUUGAGCUUUUCUUUAAUGCACUUUUCAGUUAACAAGUCAACAUCAAUUUCUUUUGCUGUAAAAAAGCUUGAGGAAGGUGGCUUGAGAUUCGUCUUAAGUGUUUAUAGCCUCUUGCCUAUGCAGUCGGAGAGAUUGAGGUCUGCAGCGUAGAUCCUUCGGGGCUAAAUGCAUUUGUGCUAAGUUAUAACAUUUUAUAGACAACUUGUUGACUAUGAUUUGUCUUGUAGCUUACUCGCUUAUGUUAUUUUACCUACGCUUAGGAUGUUGAGCGCAUGUCUCUCUCU